rnacentral:tRNA from 1 species
CGGUGAUUGGCGCAGCCUGGUAGCGCACUUCGUUCGGGACGAAGUGGUCGGAGGUUCGAAUCCUCUAUCACCGACCA